rnacentral:rRNA from 1 species
AAAAUUGCGUGCUACACAUGCAGUCGGACGGUAGCACAGAGGAGCUUGCUCCUUGGGUGACGAGUGGCGGACGGGUGAGUAAUGUCUGGGGAUCUGCCCGAUAGAGGGGGAUAACCACUGGAAACGGUGGCUAAUACCGCAUAACGUCGCAAGACCAAAGAGGGGGACCUUCGGGCCUCUCACUAUCGGAUGAACCCAGAUGGGAUUAGCUAGUAGGCGGGGUAAUGGCCCACCUAGGCGACGAUCCCUAGCUGGUCUGAGAGGAUGACCAGCCACACUGGAACUGAGACACGGUCCAGACUCCUACGGGAGGCAGCAGUGGGGAAUAUUGCACAAUGGGCGCAAGCCUGAUGCAGCCAUGCCGCGUGUAUGAAGAAGGCCUUCGGGUUGUAAAGUACUUUCAGCGGGGAGGAAGGCGGUGCGGUUAAUAACCGCGCCGAUUGACGUUACCCGCAGAAGAAGCACCGGCUAACUCCGUGCCAGCAGCCGCGGUAAUACGGAGGGUGCAAGCGUUAAUCGGAAUUACUGGGCGUAAAGCGCACGCAGGCGGUCUGUUAAGUCAGAUGUGAAAUCCCCGGGCUUAACCUGGGAACUGCAUUUGAAACUGGCAGGCUUGAGUCUUGUAGAGGGGGGUAGAAUUCCAGGUGUAGCGGUGAAAUGCGUAGAGAUCUGGAGGAAUACCGGUGGCGAAGGCGGCCCCCUGGACAAAGACUGACGCUCAGGUGCGAAAGCGUGGGGGAGCAAACAGGAUUAGAUACCCUGGUAGUCCACGCCGUAAACGAUGUCGACUUGGAGGUUGUUCCCUUGAGGAGUGGCUUCCGGAGCUAACGCGUUAAGUCGACCGCCUGGGGAGUACGGCCGCAAGGUUAAAACUCAAAUGAAUUGACGGGGGCCCGCACAAGCGGUGGAGCAUGUGGUUUAAUUCGAUGCAACGCGAAGAACCUUACCUACUCUUGACAUCCACGGAAUUCGGCAGAGAUGCCUCAGUGCCUUCGGGAACCGUGAGACAGGUGCUGCAUGGCUGUCGUCAGCUCGUGUUGUGAAAUGUUGGGUUAAGUCCCGCAACGAGCGCAACCCUUAUCCUUUGUUGCCAGCGAUUCGGUCGGGAACUCAAAGGAGACUGCCGGUGAUAAACCGGAGGAAGGUGGGGAUGACGUCAAGUCAUCAUGGCCCUUACGAGUAGGGCUACACACGUGCUACAAUGGCGCAUACAAAGAGAAGCGACCUCGCGAGAGCAAGCGGACCUCACAAAGUGCGUCGUAGUCCGGAUCGGAGUCUGCAACUCGACUCCGUGAAGUCGGAAUCGCUAGUAAUCGUGGAUCAGAAUGCCACGGUGAAUACGUUCCCGGGCCUUGUACACACCGCCCGUCACACCAUGGGAGUGGGUUGCAAAAGAAGUAGGUAGCUUAACCUUCGGGAGGGCGCUUACCACUGAGAGAUGCCGAACACAGANCNNC